CCAUUGUUGGUUCAGUGGUAGAAUCCUUGCCUUCCAUGCAGAAGACCUGGGUUCAAUCCCAUCCAAUGUA
rnacentral:tRNA from 1 species